rnacentral:RNase_P_RNA from 1 species
AAAGCAGACCGUUCUAUCGCUGUCCCGUUGUAAUUAAUGGGAGAGAGGAAAGUCCGGACAACACAGAGCACCAGGCUUCCUAACCGGAAGAUACCCGUGAGGGUAUAGUAAUGGAGCAGAAAAUAACCGUCCGCCUCCCGAAACCCGAUAGUUAUCGGGUUCGGGAUGGCGGAUAAGGGUGAAAAGGUGAGGUAAGAGCUCACCGGUCCUCCGGGUGACCGGGGGAGCCGUUCAUCUCCUGGGUUGAAAGACCAUGUAUACCGGCGCCUGAGGGCUGCUCGUCCGAUGCCGGGGGGUAGGUCGCUUGAUUCCUGGAGUGAUUCAGGAACCAGAUAAAUGAUAGAAGUCCUGUCCAGUGUCUUUUACAGACAACGGAUCAGGAAACAGAAUCCGGCUUACAAGUCUGCUUUUAUU